GGGCUGCGGGGUUUUGAGAGACGCAAGUCCCUCCAUAUGCCGCCGGCUUAAUCAAUAAACUCCAAUCAAUUCGGCUGUCUGGACAUCCUCUUAUUUCUCGCUGAGUAGACUACAUUUGGAGGCACAGUGAGAUCUGCGCCUGUCUAGUACGUGGGUGAAGCAUCCUAGGGAGAGUGGCCUCGCUUGCUCAGCUGCCAUCUACCCAGAGACUGCUCUGGGGAAGGCGCCCCCUGGGACUUCCCCCCAGGGACUUCCCAGGGCCCUGGAACUCUUCUCAGGAUUGUGGACAGCUGACAAGAGACGCUGACUGCUCCUCCAGAAGCGUGUGGAGUUUCUUUUGCUGUAAGACCUCCGGAGGCAUUUCCUUGGGUGUUCUGUCCUGUCCUGUCCUCUUUGCUUCGGAGAAGACAAACCGGUGAGUAAGGGGUUGGCUAUGGGAGGAGCCCCCUGAAGUCUGGCCUGGCUGGGACAAGGGCUGUAAACCCUUCUCUGUAGGUGGCUGGGACUCAGGGCUUACUGGACACGGUUACAGAACACUUACUCGGGUUCCACCAGAUGUACUUGGAACCCCGGGGCGGGGUGCCUGUAGACGGUUUGGGGAAACCCGGGCAACUCGGGCUGGAGGCCCUUGACAGGGGUCUUAGGGAUUCUCUGGGUUUCUACUGCUUUUACUGUUGAUUUGCUUAUUUCCUUCGGAACCUCUAGGAAAAUAUUUCUUGGUUCUAUCCCUUAUCCCCUUCAGUGGGGAAUACAGAACAAUGGAUUACUGACCUCACACACCAGGGGGUUCUUUAAGAAUUUUACUCUGAAGAGUUUGAAAUGUUUGCUUGCUUGCUUCUCUUCAUUCUCUGAUUGGUGGGAGGGAAUGUUACAGCCUCUGGUGUGCUGGGUGAAUGAAGGAUUGUACGUCUGUGUUUGCGGGCCCACGGCGAAAAGCUAUGGGAUCCGACUGUGUCCAGUCCUGCGGGUUCCUGGAGUCCUCAUACGGCUAAUCAGCGCUGGGGGUCACUGACCCUCCCUGCGCGUGUGACCCUACGGCGGGCUUAUACCGGUUACCGAAGCUAAGAGGCUCCCUGAGGUCCCGGGUUGCAGAGAAGAUUAUGGAGAAGAGACCCUGCGGCUUCUGCCCACCUUUUACCACAACCCUCAGAGUGUCUCCUCUGUGACCGAGGUACUUGGGGAGAUAAACCGUCGGAUUCUCCUGGUCUGCAGCAGUUCUAGGCUGCUAGGCACCCUCUGAGGGCCAGCUAGCGGUCUGUGCUGGUGCGGAAGGAUCUUCUCAUCGGAGAGCCGGCCUCCUAGCCCAGCUCCUCCGCGGGCAAGCUCUGUGCCCUUUCUGAGCUCGUUUUCUCCACGGGCCCACGGACAGUAAAAACCUUCUUGCUGGGCUGAAGAUCUGUGAAAGGGCCGCACACCAGCUCCGGCGGUAGUCUCCUCGUUCAGGAGGUUAUUGUGAACACCAGGUGAGAACAUGAAUGUAGAAGGGACUUGGCGGCCUGUGAAACUCUCGCUACACUUUGGACUCUGCACCGCUAAUGCAUUAAUAUUACAAAUGCUAAUGAGGGUGCAGGGAGGUAAGAGGACCCGCUAGGUAUUCUGGAAGGGUGUCACUUUCACGAUCUCCGAAUUAGAUGGACAGGCAUCAUGGUCACACUGCUAAAGCAUCAGGGGACCAGCAGUUGGUGUAAUGGC